rnacentral:rRNA from 1 species
GAUGAACGCUAGCGGCAGGCUUAAUACAUGCAAGUCGAGGGGCAGCGCAGUGUAGCAAUACAUGGGCGGCGACCGGCAAACGGGUGCGUAACACGUACGCAACCUUCCCGUUACUGUGGGAUAGCCCAGGGAAACUUGGAUUAAUACCACAUAUUGCCAUUGGGAGGCAUCUCUUGAUGGCCAAAGAAUUUCGGUAACGGAUGGGCGUGCGGUUGAUUAGGUAGUUGGCGGGGUUAACGGGCCCCACCAAGCCUACGAUCAAUAGCUGAUGUGAGAGCAUGAUCAGCCACACGGGCACUGAGACACGGGCCCGACUCCUACGGGAGGCAGCAGUAAGGAAUAUUGGGCAAUGGACGAAAGUCUGACCCAGCCAUGCCGCGUGAAGGAUGAAGGUCCUCUGGAUUGUAAACUCUUUUUCUGGGUAGAAAUGCAUCUUUUCUAAGGUGUUUGACGGUUACCAGAAGAAUAAGCACCGGCUAACUCCGUGCCAGCAG